rnacentral:rRNA from 1 species
AUACGUAGGGGGCGAGCGUUGUCCGGAAUGAUUGGGCGUAAAGGGCGCGUAGGCGGCCCGGUAAGUCUGGAGUGAAAGUCCUGUUUUUAAGAUGGGAAUUGCUUUGGAUACUGUCGGGCUUGAGUGCAGGAGAGGUAAGUGGAAUUCCCAGUGUAGCGGUGAAAUGCGUAGAGAUUGGGAGGAACACCAGUGGCGAAGGCGGCUUACUGGACUGUAACUGACGCUGAGGCGCGAAAGUGUGGGGAGCAAACAGGAUUAGAUACCCUGGCAGUCCACACUGUAAACGAUGAGUGCUAGGUGUAGGGGGUAUCGACCCCUUCUGUGCCGCAGUCAACACAAUAAGCAUUCCGCCUGGGGAGUACGGCCGCAAGGUUGAAACUCAAAUGAAUUGACGGGG